CCUACGGGAGGCAGCAGUGAGGAAUAUUGGUCAAUGGACGAGAGUCUGAACCAGCCAAGUAGCGUGAAGGAUGACUGCCCUAUGGGUUGUAAACUUCUUUUAUAAAGGAAUAAAACGAGGCACGUGUGCCUUUUUGCAUGUACUUUAUGAAUAAGGAUCGGCUAACUCCGUGCCAGCAGCCGCGGUAAUACGGAGGAUCCGAGCGUUAUCCGGAUUUAUUGGGUUUAAAGGGAGCGUAGAUGGGUUGUUAAGUCAGUUGUGAAAGUUUGCGGCUCAACCGUAAAAUUGCAAUGGAUACUGGCAGUCUUGAGUACAGUUGAGGUAGGCGGAAUUCGUGGUGUAGCGGUGAAAUGCUUAGAUAUCACGAAGAACCCCGAUUGCGAAGGCAGCUUACGAAACUGUGACUGACAUUGAUGCUCGAAAGUGUGGGUAUCAAACAGGAUUAGAUACCCGUGUAGUC
rnacentral:rRNA from 1 species